rnacentral:lncRNA from 1 species
UGUCCAAUAUCGAAAACCCCCAAAAGCACUAUACUAGAGAUGAAUCACAAGAAAACGAAAAUGAAAUCCCUAAAAUCUAAUAGAGAACUAGAAAACAGUACAAAUCAGAGCUUCAGUGAUCUACGAAGGGCAAAAAUUGACAGAAGAAGGGUCGGAUUCUGGCGAAUUUGAAUAUUUUCUAGCCGGCGUCACCUGAAGAUGAUAAAAAAAGACCGUGCUGGAGAAGGGUUCGUCAGAAAAAUCAAAACGAGUAGAUUCAUAGCUGAUUCUCAUUCAUUUUUCCUCGAUCUUACUUUUGAUCUUCUCUUUCGAUGGUUUUCUGUGUAUGUUUCCUAAUCCGGUGAGUUUCCUCCCCUUUUUCGAUAAAUACCCCUCCUAAUAUGUGUGUGUGUGUGAACGAUGAUGAAGAAUAAGAAACCCUAUCCCUCUUUUUGUUCCUGUGUUUUGAGCAAGAAAAGAAACCCAAAAAUCCCCAAAUCCUGUCUCUGUGUGUGUAUUUUCCUUGGAAAUCCUAUCCCUCCUCCAUUCUCUCUAUCCGUGUAUGUGUUGUAUUAUUCCCCAGAAAAAUGGAGCUCC